rnacentral:rRNA from 2 species
AGGAAAAGAAACCAACAGGGAUUGCCUCAGUAGCGGCGAGUGAAGCGGCAAAAGCUCAAUUUGAAUCUGGCGUCUUUGGCGUCCGAGUUGUAAUUUGAAGAAGGUAUCUUUGGGCCCGGCUCUUGUCUAUGUUCCUUGGAACAGGACGUCACAGAGGGUGAGAAUCCCGUGCGAUGAGAUGACCCGGGUCUGUGUAAAGUUCCUUCGACGAGUCGAGUUGUUUGGGAAUGCAGCUCUAAGUGGGUGGUAAAUUCCAUCUAAAGCUAAAUAUUGGCGAGAGACCGAUAGCGAACAAGUACAGUGAUGGAAAGAUGAAAAGAACUUUGAAAAGAGAGUGAAAAAGUACGUGAAAUUGUUGAAAGGGAAGGGCUUGAGAUCAGACUUGGUAUUUUGCAUGUUGCUCUCUCGGGGGCGGCCGCUGCGGUUUACCGGGCCAGCAUCGGUUUGGAGCGGCAGGAUAAUGGCGGAGGAAUGUGGCACGGCUUCUGCUGUGUGUUAUAGCCUCUGACGAUACUGCCAGCCUAGACCGAGGACUGCGG